rnacentral:tRNA from 1 species
GCGUCUAUAGCUCAGUUGGUUAGAGUACUACCUUGACAUGGUAGGGGCCGGCAGUUCGAGUCUGCCUAGACGCACCA